GGUAUCAGAAGUGCGAAUGCUGACAUAAGUAACGAUAAAGCGGGUGAAAAGCCCGCUCGCCGGAAGACCAAGGGUUCCUGUCCAACGUUAAUCGGGGCAGGGUGAGUCGACCCCUAAGGCGAGGCCGAAAGGCGUAGUCGAUGGGAAACGGGUUAAUAUUCCCGUACUUGGUGUUACUGCGAAGGGGGGACGGAGAAGGCUAUGUUGGCCGGGCGACGGUUGUCCCGGUUUAAGCGUGUAGGUGUGUGUUCCAGGUAAAUCCGGUUCACUUUAACACUGAGGCGUGACGACGAGGCACUACGGUGCUGAAGCAACAAAUGCCCUGCUUCCAGGAAAAGCCUCUAAGCAUCAGGUAACAUCAAAUCGUACCCCAAACCGACACAGGUGGUCAGGUAGAGAAUACCAAGGCGCUUGAGAGAACUCGGGUGAAGGAACUAGGCAAAAUGGUGCCGUAACUUCGGGAGAAGGCACGCUGACAUGUAGGUGAAGUGAUUUACUCAUGGAGCUGAAGUCAGUCGAAGAUACCAGCUGGCUGCAACUGUUUAUUAAAAACACAGCACUGUGCAAACACGAAAGUGGACGUAUACGGUGUGACGCCUGCCCGGUGCCGGAAGGUUAAUUGAUGGGGUCAGCGCAAGCGAAGCUCCUGAUCGAAGCCCCGGUAAACGGCGGCCGUAACUAUAACGGUCCUAAGGUAGCGAAAUUCCUUGUCGGGUAAGUUCCGACCUGCACGAAUGGCGUAAUGAUGGCCAGGCUGUCUCCACCCGAGACUCAGUGAAAUUGAACUCGCUGUGAAGAUGCAGUGUACCCGCGGCAAGACGGAAAGACCCCGUGAACCUUUACUAUAGCUUGACACUGAACAUUGAGCCUUGAUGUGUAGGAUAGGUGGGAGGCUUUGAAGUGUGGACGCCAGUCUGCAUGGAGCCGACCUUGAAAUACCACCCUUUAAUGUUUGAUGUUCUAACGUGGACCCGUUAUCCGGGUUGCGGACAGUGUCUGGUGGGUAGUUUGACUGGGGCGGUCUCCUCCUAAAGAGUAACGGAGGAGCACGAAGGUUGGCUAAUCCUGGUCGGACAUCAGGAGGUUAGUGCAAUGGCAUAAGCCAGCUUGACUGCGAGCGUGACGGCGCGAGCAGGUGCGAAAGCAGGUCAUAGUGAUCCGGUGGUUCUGAAUGGAAGGGCCAUCGCUCAACGGAUAAAAGGUACUCCGGGGAUAACAGGCUGAUACCGCCCAAGAGUUCAUAUCGACGGCGGUGUUUGGCACCUCGAUGUCGGCUCAUCACAUCCUGGGGCUGAAGUAGGUCCCAAGGGUAUGGCUGUUCGCCAUUUAAAGUGGUACGCGAGCUGGGUUUAGAACGUCGUGAGACAGUUCGGUCCCUAUCUGCCGUGGGCGCUGGAGAACUGAGGGGGGCUGCUCCUAGUACGAGAGGACCGGAGUGGACGCAUCACUGGUGUUCGGGUUGUCAUGCCAAUGGCACUGCCCGGUAGCUAAAUGCGGAAGAGAUAAGUGCUGAAAGCAUCUAAGCACGAAACUUGCCCCGAGAUGAGUUCU
rnacentral:rRNA from 1 species